AUCACUGCCUGCUUUUGCCAGGCUUGUCCUGGGGACAGAGGAAGGCAGGGAGUCCAUGGCUCCACAGACGUAGCGCCCCACGGGAACCGCAGGAGCAGAACUUCGGAGCCCGGGCCUCAGUAAACUACUCUGAAAAAAAGAAUGGGUGACAUCCAGGAACCAGCUCAGGAGGCCGUGAGAUCAUUACCGGAGCUAACGUGUGUGGGUUCGUCUCGCUCAGCGGCUAAAGGACCCUCCCAUUCCACCACGGGAGAGAGAACGAGUCCGGGAAAGUCCACAGAACCGUCGGAAACCAGUCUUCCACUGUUUUUCAAACUUUCCAUGAUGCAACCAACCCUAGAAGCCUGCAGCAUGGGAAGCUGGGGGCCCAUUAAAAGCCCAAAUUCCCUAUAAGUCUUGUGCUUC